CCUUUCCUCGGUUGCUUGAUCC
rnacentral:miRNA from 1 species